rnacentral:misc_RNA from 1 species
GAAGUGCGAUAAGCAAUGUGAAUUGCAGAAUUCAGUGAAUCAUCAGACCUUUGAACGCAAAUUGCAGUCUUGGUAAACCAGGACUAUAUCUGUUUCAGUGCCUUUAAUGAACCCUCAAAACUUAAUCAGUUUUUAUUAAUUGAUUAUUUGUUUUGGAAAGUGAGCGUUAAUUAAUACUUAAUUAUCGCUCCAAACGUAUGGCCUGGGACCACACUAAUGCUUCCAUCCCGCAAUGUAGUAGUCACACUCACGUGUGAAUCUCAUUGCGCGGUAGCAGUGGCUUUCCUGCACGGCUGAGAAACAAACUCACACUUUCAAACUAAGGCCUGAAAUCAGGUAAGACUACCCGCUGAAGUUAAGC